AGUAGAAUUUGGUGAAAGGACUGUGAUGUCAUCCCUUCCCUUUGGGUCGCAUCGUAUGUAAAGGGAGUUGGAUGUCACGCCCAUCACUCCCAGGACCCCAUGACAACUGGAGACAGACUCUCCCGCUGGCCUCUCAGGAGCAAACAGCCAUGUUGUGAACGGCCCCAGAGAAGGACGCUUGGCAGGGGACCAUGGAGCUUCUGGGACCUGAGGGCAGCUAGCAGCCCAGAAGAAGCUGGGCCAGCACCUCAAUUGUGGCCACGUGGGACCCUGAGCAGAAGACCAGCUGAGCAGUAUACCGGGACUGCUGCCCCACAGACACCAAGGUUGGAAAUGUGUGUACGUUUUAGCUGCUAAACUUGCGGUCCUUUGUUUUGCAGCACUGCACGUAUGCGUCUUUUUGUAUGUGAGUUACAUGUCUCAAUUUUUAAAGGUUGGGGAGGAAAUGUAAGUACAAUAAAAAUAGCAGGAAAUAACUGCACCAGAAUGCUCUCGGAUAGUCUGACUCUGAGGAAGGUUGGCAGUGGGUUUUAGUGGGUUUGUUUGCCCCUGUGAUCUCACUGUCCUGACUCUGUGGCCUGUCUACACUGCAAAGCGGGUCUGAGGUUGAGAGCUGGAUUCCAGUGCCUGAGUUUUUACCUCCUGCCUACCUGUGUCCACGAGCUUCUGUUUCCUUACCUUUAAAUUGGAGAUGACAGUGGUCCCUGCCUUGUGGGACAGCGUCAGGAUGUGGUGAGAUGGCCCCUUUCAGCGGAUCACAUCGUUAAGUGGCCAGCGUUCCUGUAGCCCUCACCCGUUACAGAGCCAUCAAGGGGCAAGAGGUGCUGACCCCAGCUCUGGGGUGGGUCCGGUUGAGUCUACACCACACAGGGUGACCCACCAGCAAAUGAUUCUGAGUCACCGUCUGCCAUUCAGGAAAGAUCAGGCGUCCAAUUGAAACACGCAUUUGGUAGGAGUUUCCAGAGAAAGGCUCCCAUCUUCUACGAGGCAACCGUGAGAAGAAAUGGCCUUUCCCCUCCAGGGGCGGUGACAGGAUGAGCAGUGCAGAGCCUGGGACGCUGCAACCAUCAGGCUUCCGGCGUCGUCAUCAACCGAGGAAGCUGGAGCCCUGGGUCAAGCCACACCGAAAUGCCAUCCGUACCCAGAUCCCAGCAACACAGCACUGGGGCUUGGAUGAUGGACACUCAGGGAUACGCACUGAAUUAUAGGAAAUGAUAUAAUGCCUGAGAUUGGCUUCAAAAUGAUAAGAGAGGAUUUGGGCGGCUCAUAGAUGAAACAAGGCUGUGUAUACGGAUCCCCGCUGGAGCUGGGUUUUGGGUACAUGGAGGCCUUUGAAAUCGGUGUGUAGUGUGUUUUACAUGGAUAGCACAUCUCACUUUGGCUGAGUCACAUUUCCAGUGCUCAAGAGCUAUAAAUUAUAAAGCGGCUAUAAAUUAUCCCUCUGGGGUUUCUGCGUGUAUUCUGGAUCGUGAAGCCUUAGAAGGACCGUCACUUCUGCCCAGCUGCAUCCUCAGGAUUGUAGCAAAGGCUCCCGCCGAGGGCACAACCCCAGUGGCUCAUCAGUCAGGGGCUGGUUUUGUCUGCAGUGGGGACCCUCCACUGGGAUGACACCACUGACUGGGCACUCGGAGGGCCUGACUUCAAGCCGCUGAUUUAAAAACCUGGCGUGACCUGUUCACCGGGUACAAAGGUGAUUUAUGCAGCCCAUCGGAUGUCUCUCCAGAAGAGCGGGCCCCUGAGCGCUUAGAGGAUUGAGCCUAUUUGUGGUGGAAAUAACAGCACAAAAACCUUUGCGGAGAAGCAGAAACAGAGCUGCUGAAUUACUGCUUGGAAUGACCUCUGUUUCCAUUCCUGCACGCACGGAGCUUACAUUGGUCCAUAACACACCACUCCCAGCCACGCAAGAAAAAAGCUAGACGAGCUGAAGAAUCAAAACUCGUCUUAGAUCUGCCAGGGCAGUGAGGUCACAGGGCAAACCACCGCCCUAGGUUGUUUGGACAGACGGACGAAUGCAGAGUCACGAUGCACGAAGCCAGAGAACAGGAAACGGUGGGGGGGAUCUAGGGCUGGGUGGACAGAUCACACACCCCUGGGGGCCCGUCCUGGGGGCCCUGACACUGCCAUGAGUUUUACCACUCGAAGCCCUGCCAGGUUUUCACAGUAAAGAUCAGGAAAAAACCAAAUCCCCUUGAGCUUCCUUCCAUCAGGGGAGGAAAACAGGCAUCGUGCAUUCUUUCUAUCCUCUGUGAGGCUCGCCUGGCCGAGCAGCUUCUGGGGGCUUCUGCGGAGCUGGCCCUCGGGCUAAGAGUCUUGCUUUCCUUAUUUCCAAGUCUAUUUUUACAAAACACUCUGCCUUUGUUGAGGUCACAGGAGUGACUCUCUCAGUGUCCUCCAACAGCCCUAAGCCCAUUUCACAGCAGAGGAAACUGAGGCCCAGUGGCCAAGUAACUUGUUCGAGGGCACAGAGCUGGUUAGCAGUGGGGCUGGCGCCCCUCCCCCGGCACCUUCGUUCCACUUUGUCUUGACAUGGAGAAUCCUCCAGGCUCAGGCGAACGUCUGGAAGACGCAGCCCUGCCAGCGUCUCACGAGAGACCCCGAGCCAGGACCACCCCACUGGGUCACCCCCAAAUUCCUGACGCACAGACGCUGUGAGAUGGUACACGUUGAUUGGUUUCAGCUGCUACGUUUUGGAACCGUUUGCUGUUACACAGCCAUGGAUGAGUAACGCACAGAACAUCUUUUUUUUUUUCCUGAGCGCCAACACCCGAGUGUUCUGUCAAGAGUAGUUUUCACCCCGGCUUUGUUUGAACAAGUUUCCUGUGGUGUCGAAGUCAGACGUGUCUUUUCCUGAAUUAGCGUUUAAGAAAUAUGAUCGGUUCUAAAUGACAGGGUGGCCAGGGGAGGCUGCAAAAGAAAAGCCCACCUGUUCCAAGUGAGCUGAGGGCACAGGGGCCAUGUCUCUCUCAGGUUUGGGGGGCCUCAAAUGGGUGAGGAAGUUUCUUGGAGGAUCAUUCUGUCUGUCUGUCUCUAUCUUCUGUAGUGAUACAAAAAUGCGGUCCUUCUCGGUAGUGGUCAGAGGCCCAUCACCGUGUGAUGUAACGCCCCAGGGACUCAGUGAGCAGACAGGAAGCUGCAUUGGGGAUGCAGAGAGGAUCCGAGAAGGAUAUAGAAGCAGCAGGAAGUGACGUUCAGCAGACAGGAAGAGGAGGGGGCGCUGGAAACACAGAGAAUCUGGGCUCAUCACUCACCUGCCAGAGGCACGUCGAGCUUCAGGCCCUCGAAGCUGUGAGUGCGGACCCGCCGCUUUCAGAUUCUGAGGCUUCUCAGCCCGUCUGCCCACCUUCAGGCCCAGCCAGGACUAGGUGGAGGGGUUUCCACCGGGCCCCUGUCUUGUGAUGGGGAACAGCAGGCCAAGCGAGGAUCCCCUGCGGCUCAGGGCAGGAGGGUGACCCCAUCGGCGCUUUUUGCGGAGGUCUUGUACGGCUCUGCCCGGACCACGUUGGUGUGAUUCCCUGACUUUGGAGGAUGAAGGGAGGAGGGGGCAGACGCAGCCCAGCCACACCCCGCCCCCAGAGCGGCACUGUCCAGAACUUUCUGCAGUUACGGGAACUUUCUUCGCCUGCGCUGUUCUGUAUAGCAGCCAUUGGCCGCGUGGGUCUCCAGACCCAGCUCCUGGGAUGUGGCUCGCGCCACGUUUCACAGGGAAGGGUUUCCUUUUACUUCAUUUUCGUUAGAGUAUAAGUGUAGAUAGCCAGAUGUGACUAGCGGCUUCUGAAUUGGACGAUAUGGCCCUUAAUCCUUGUUUUGGGUCUAUAAUCACAAACUCUCUAGAGAUGUAUAUAUAUAUAUAUUUUUUUUUUAACUUUAAAUUAAAUGUACAUAGAGUGAAAGGUACAUGGAGUAAAAUUCACUUUUUCUGGGUACAGUUCUGCUUCUUUUGACAAAUACGUGGGGUCAUAUAAUCACCACCACAACCAUCACCUCCCACCCAGGAUUCCCACGUGUCAUUUGGUAGCUAGCCUCUCCCCAGACCUCCAGCCCCUGGAAUCACUCAUCUGUUUCUGCCUCUCUAGUUUUGCUUUUUCCAGGAUGUCCUACAAAUGAAAGCAUACAGGAUGCCCUUGGGGUCCUCCGUGUUGUUCUCUGUAUGCGUCCUUUGCUCCUUUUCAGUGCUGCGUGAUGUUCCGUCGUACGGUUGUGCCUAAGUUUGUUUUCCACUCCCCAAGUGAGGUGCGUUUGGAUUGUUGGGUUGUCGAGUUUGGGGUCUUUAGGAAAAGAGCCACUACAGAUAAUCACGUACAAGUUUUUGUGUCCACACAAGUUUCCAUUUCACUUGGAUAAAGAGCUAGCGAUGGGGUUGCAGGUCAUUCGGUAAGGUAGUUGAACUGUAUGAGGAACUGCCAGACUUUUCCAAAGUGGCAGUACCGUCUUGACUUCUGCGAGCCACGUGGGAGAACUCCAGACCUUCUCAUCAAUUUUCCCAGAAAUCCCAGCGCGGUUUUAUCCUGCUUCCUAACAAUGAAUGACGUUGAGCAUCUUUUCCUGGGCUUGCUUUUCACGCCUAUAUCUUUAGUGAAGGAUCUGUUCAUGUGGUUUUUUUUGUUUUGUAUUUAAGACUUUAUCUUUUUUUUUUUUUUUUUUUGGCUGUGUUGGGUCUUAGUUGCUGC